rnacentral:rRNA from 1 species
AUUGAACGCUGGCGGCAUGCUUUACACAUGCAAGUCGAACGGUAACAGGCCUUCGGGUGCUGACGAGUGGCGAACGGGUGAGUAAUGCAUCGGAACGUACCCAGAGGUGGGGGAUAACGCAGCGAAAGCUGUGCUAAUACCGCAUGUGAUCUGAGGAUGAAAGCGGGGGACCGAGCAGCAAUGUUUGGCCUCUCGCCUUUGGAGCGGCCGAUGUCGGAUUAGCUAGUUGGUGGGGUAAAGGCCUACCAAGGCGACGAUCCGUAGCUGGUCUGAGAGGACGACCAGCCACACGGGGACUGAGACACGGCCCAGACUCCUACGGGAGGCAGCAGAGGGGAAUUUUGGACAAUGGGCGCAAGCCUGAUCCAGCAAUGCCGCGUGCGGGAAGAAGGCCUUCGGGUUGUAAACCGCUUUUGGCAGGAACGAAACGGUGUCCGCUAAUACCGGGCGCUAAUGACGGUACCUGCAGAAUAAGCACCGGCUAACUACGUG